UCUUACUUUAGGUAAAUUAUGAGUAAAUAUAUAUACAUAAUAUGUAUAUAUAUAUAAUUGUAUUACAUAGCAAUUGCAUGUAUUUUUAUUUGCAUAUACCACUCUUUAAUUGGAAACCUACAGUAUAAUUAUAUCAUGGUAUUUUAUUAAUCCAGUUGUAUUUUAGAGCUUAACUGAAGUGGAAGAUAGGACUAGUCAGAUGGUUAUUGUUUCUAAACUUUUUCACCAAUACAUCUUCUUUAUUAUGUCAGAUCAAGAUAGAAAUAUUAAAUCAAGACCAGCUUUUCUCCAACAGUUUCCAACACUUUCCAGCUGUAACCUUUUCAGUAUUCAAUGGCAAAAAUGGCCCACGGGAACUUUCUGAUUAUCAUUCAAGAGCAAGUGUCAAGGGAACAUAAUUACUUUUGUUAUACGGCAUUCUUCCCACUGAGAUGACACCAAAUGCCUGUGUGGUUUAACAAACAACACUGAUAAGUGGCACUUUUGAUAGGAAUGAGCCAGUUGUAUAUGCUAAAUCAAGUAGCCAGCAGAGACUCUAACUUUUUAAAGAGAUUUCAAAAGACACCAGAGAGGGAUUAUAAAUUGCUUCUGGUGUCAGUAUGAUUUAAUCAUCCUGAGGUCCGAAUUUCAUUAUGGAAAGUACCAAGUGCCAUUGGCUUUGAGUAUCAAAAACAUUGUAACCUUCAGAAACAAAAGUUCAGUCACGGUAUGUUGUUCCUUUGAUAUAGAUAUUCUUCAGGAAAAGGAAACUGCAAUCUUAUUACUAGUAUUUUUUUUUUCCAGAAAAUGCUUUCUGUGUAAACGUGCAUUUACUCCCAGUACAUAACACAAAAUACAGUUUAAUACAAUUUAUCUAUUAUUUAUGUGAGCUCACAAUUCAGUGACAUAUAUGUCAUGGUUGAUCUGUAUCAAGAUAUUUGUAGAGGUGAGUUACCGAGUUACAAAUUGAAUUGUUUGUAUGAAAUGCCCCUAUCUUUCAAUGAAGGAGAAACCAAAGUUUCAAGAAACAGGCAUCGUGCCAUGCAGACAUGCAGCAAAAGCUUGAAACAACAUUAAAUCUGUUCAAAAUCAACCAGGGUUGAAACAUCACAUUCAAAAAGAUGCUGUGCCACAUAGUUUAACUACUUUACCUCCACAAUCAGAAUAAAU
rnacentral:lncRNA from 1 species